GCCUGCCACAGCAAAUUGGCCUCAUGUAGAGAGAAAAAAAGAGGAGAAGUAGGGGAGGGCUGCAAAGCUAGUGAAGAUGUAAGCUAGCAGGGGGAGGUAAUCUUAGAUCCUACAUGGCCUGGAGUAGCGUGCCCCCUGAUGCUAAACAUUUGGCAGUGGACCAAACUGUGAGGACAAACACCAUGUCUUCUACAAUUAGACACAGUUCUCUCAACAUAGUAACAUGGUGCUACUUCAAAUGCGUCUUUUUUUUUUUUUCAGAAUUGUUGGUGUUUAAUUUGGGUUUGCCACUGGAAGUGGCACUGGCUUAGUACAUACAGUCAGUGAGCUGUAAAUCCAGUAGGUAGGUACAGUUAGGGUUUUUUGUGCAUGAUAGAAAUUCUUGCAUUUAUCAUUGUUACAGUUAUUUGUUUUGGAGUUUGCAAUGCAAAAUAAAAAUUGCUUGAUUUCAGACUGAGAAAGAUUCUGUCAUUCAAUGAUGUUUAGGACUGACUGUUUGAAAAUCAAAUAUUCUCUCAUGGGAACACUUUCUGUAGUCUCUCUUUGUUCUGUUUCCCUUUUUCUGUCUGACAGCAGAUGUAGGUGUGAGAUAAAUGUGUUCUGGUAGUGUGUUGCAUGGCUGGUUGCAAAUUUAAUGUAUAUCCUUUUUAAUCUGAAGUUUCUCUUGGUUUAGGUCCAGUUCAUAUCCACAGCCUCUAUGUACUGUUUUCAUUUCCCUGGUCAAGUUUUUCUUUCCGUAAAGGUGCAAAUGAAAUCACUUUUCUACCUGCCAAAAUAUUUACAGCUGCUUAAACAGCAAUAUACCACGCCAACUUUAUGUCAGUAUUUCCUUAUUACACAUUUGUUUAAUAAUAAUGAGUUGUUAAUUACUACCAACUUCCUCUCCUUGUCCAGAAGUGAUUAGUGAGGUCCUUAAUCAACUCAUAGACAGAGAGAGUUUAAGACACGCUAAGAGAAAUCCACCAAAAAUUCAUCUGCUUGGAUCGUAUUGAGAUGCAGCUUUUCUGGGGGUGAAUGAAGCACUAGAAGUAC
ensembl:lncRNA